UUAWUUGGGCGUAAAGAGCUUGUAGGCGGUUUGUCGCGUCUGCUGUGAAAGGCCGGAGCUUAACUCCGUGUAUUGCAGUGGGUACGGGCAGACUAGAGUGCAGUAGGGGAGACUGGAAUUCCUGGUGUAGCGGUGGAAUGCGCAGAUAUCAGGAGGAACACCGAUGGCGAAGGCAGGUCUCUGGGCUGUAACUGACGCUGAGAAGCGAAAGCAUGGGGAGCGAACAGGAUUAGAUACCCUGGUAGUCCAUGCCGUAAACGUUGGGCACUAGGUGUGGGGGACAUUCCACGUUUUCCGCGCCGUAGCUAACGCAUUAAGUGCCCCGCCUGGGGAGUACGGCCGCAAGGCUAAAACUCAAAGAAAUUGACGGGGGCCCGCACAAGCGGCGGAGCAUGCGGAUUAAUUCKAUGCAACGCGAAGAACCUUACCAAGGCUUGACAUAUACUGGACCGCAUCAGAGAUGGUGUUUCCCUUCGGGGCUGGUAUACAGGUGGUGCAUGGUUGUCGUCAGCUCGUGUCGUGAGAAG
rnacentral:rRNA from 1 species